UUCUGCGAAUGCAGAUACUUAUGUGGACGACAAAAAGAAGAUUACGUCACCUGAUCAGCCACAGCGGUCGAUUUGACAACACAGGGCUACAAGCGGCCGGUUAUCAGAAAAGCACAACACGGAAGCAGGAUGCUCCUGAAAGCAUGUUACUGGUGUCCGGGAAACCCGAGAUGCUGCAGGGCCGAGUGGUGUCCGGAACCCGUAGGCCCGGGGCUCGCGAUUCGGGAUGCGCGCUGGCCGGGGGGUUCGGGACCAGUGCGGCUCUCCUCACUCCGGACACACCGGCUGGACAGCGGACUGGUCCGGAUAGCCACCGGCCGAGGCGGACAGGAGUCAGACUUUCAGACCAACCUUAACUACAUGUUCCUGCUGGCCUUUUCCCUUAAGUUUCUAGAUUCUCGACACACACACACGUGCCUCGACGUCUUGUUGCCCAACUGUUCAAAACCUUAAAUCAAAUUUCUCAAAAGAUUUAAAAAAAUAAAAUAAAAAUGUAGUUGCCUUCAUUUUUCUUAUAGAUGAAUGAAGUGACACCA